GACGAACGCUGGCGGCGUGCCUAAUACAUGCAAGUCGAACGGUCUUUUCUAUGGAAGCUUGCUUCCACUGAGAAGAUAGUGGCGAACGGGUGAGUAACACGUGGGUAACCUGCCCAUAAGAGGGGGAUAACAUCCGGAAACGGGUGCUAAUACCGCAUAGUUUUCUUGAUCGCAUGAUUGAGAAAGGAAAGACGGCCUUUGCGCUGUCGCUUAUGGAUGGACCCGUGGCGUAUUAGUUAGUUGGUGAGGUAACGGCUCACCAAGACGAUGAUACGUAGCCGACCUGAGAGGGUGAUCGGCCACAUUGGGACUGAGACACGGCCCAAACUCCUACGGGAGGCAGCAGUAGGGAAUCUUCCGCAAUGGAGGAAAGUCUGACGGAGCAACGCCGCGUGAGUGAAGAAGGUUUUCGGAUCGUAAAACUCUGUU
rnacentral:rRNA from 1 species